rnacentral:rRNA from 1 species
CAUGACAGUCGACGGAAAGGUCCUGCUUGCAGGGUACUCGAGUGGCGAACGGGUGAGUAACACGUGGGUGAUCUGCCUCGUACUUCGGGAUAAGCUUGGGAAACUGGGUCUAAUACCGGAUAUAACCUUCCUUUAGUGUGGGGGGUGGAAAGUUCUUUCGGUACGAGAUGAGCCCGCGGCCUAUCAGCUUGUUGGUGGGGUAAUGGCCUACCAAGGCGUCGACGGGUAGCCGGCCUGAGAGGGUGGACGGCCACAUUGGGACUGAGAUACGGCCCAGACUCCUACGGGAGGCAGCAGUGGGGAAUAUUGCACAAUGGGCGCAAGCCUGAUGCAGCGACGCCGCGUGGGGGAUGACGGCCUUCGGGUUGUAAACCUCUUUCGCUAGGGACGAAGCCAUCCUUUGGGGGUGGUGACGGUACCUGGAUAAGAAGCACCGGCUAACUACGUGCCAGCAGCCGCGGUAAUACGUAGGGUGCGAGCGUUGUCCGGAAUUACUGGGCGUAAAGAGCUCGUAGGUGGUUUGUCGCGUCGUCUGUGAAAUUCCGGGGCUUAACUCCGGGCGUGCAGGCGAUACGGGCAAUACUUGAGUGCUGUAGGGGAGACUGGAAUUCCUGGUGUAGCGGUGAAAUGCGCAGAUAUCAGGAGGAACACCAAUGGCGAAGGCAGGUCUCUGGGCAGUAACUGACGCUGAGGAGCGAAAGCAUGGGUAGCGAACAGGAUUAGAUACCCUGGUAGUCCAUGCCGUAAACGGUGGGCGCUAGGUGUAGGGGUCUUCCACGACUUCUGUGCCGUAGCUAACGCAUUAA